UUAAAAAAAAAAGUUAAAUAGAAAAUAAAUAAAUAAAAUAAAAUCUAAUGGAAAAUUGGAUAAAAAAGAAAGAGCAGUGUUUUCAACAACACUCCCCCAUGUUAUCACACUGAGCAUUGUUUCCAAAUUGAUUAUGUUCUUUAAUCAAACACCACACUAGCAUUCUUAAAAGCACUGAGAACAAAGCACUAAAGAGUUCUCUGCCACAGUUUGGCUUUUCUUUCAAUGUCUAAUCAAAUCUCACAUAUUUCCUACUGUCUCCCCAGAGGAGUUCUGGGAACUUUUCUUUAUAUUCUCAUCACAUAACCCACCCCAAGAGACAGGAAGGGAGAAAGGAGGAUGGAAGAAACGAAAGGAGAGAGGAAGGGAGGAAACAGGAUAAAGAAAUGCAGAUGGGAGAAGGUUAGAAUGAAGGAGCCAGCAUCACUGGACUGAAUGUCCCUGCAUCCCUGAUCUGUUCAGUGGGACACAGGCAGCCAGGGAGGCAGCCCAGGAGCCUCAGAGACCGCUGGUAGUGGUGUCCUCCUCAGCACUUCUUCCCUGCCUCCCGCACACCUGAGGGUCAGGCCCUUGCAUCUAAUUGGACAGCUGGGUUGGUGAACGUGGCCUGUUCUGCCAGCCGCCUCGUCGGCCACAGUGACAGCUGUAUCACUUCCCUGAUGUGAGUGGGCGCUGAGAAGCGUUGACACAUGAUCAACUUCCCUCUAAUAUCCUUCAACCAACCUGACAGUUGUCCGGCAGGGGCUAGUCAGCUCGCCUGCCAGCCCUCACCGAGGCAUUGUGGGACAGCUUCCUAAGGAAUACAGUCAGGAGAGACUUCAAAUGAGGCCUUUGUUUUCCCCUAGUGUGCUAACUGGGGAAUUGAUUCAAAUCCUGAGGGUGAUGGCUAUGAUAGGGGCUGCUACAUAGGGCCUGGAGGAAUGUAGGUAACAGCAAAUGAUAGCAUUUGAGAGGGCCACUCCAUCUUGCUCUAAGACUAGCUGGGUGGUCUCGUCGAUGCAGGAUGUGGUUCAGAGGAAGACUUCUAUCAGGGAUUUGCAGUUCCAUAGCAACACACGCUUUUUUUUUUCUAUUCUCACAUAUCUUUCCAUCAUGUAGUUUAAGGUGGAAGAAACACUCUCUCGUACCAGGAAAAGUUUGGAAGCCUCAAAGUUGUAAGCAGAAACGUCUCUGUCUUUCCCGAUGACAGCCACAGUCUGAUGGCUCUAUCCUGCUGAGCAUCUUGUCAUCACCCCUGCCAAGUCUCUUAGCCAGGGGGCCCCUCUCUCUCGCUCACCCACUAGCAGGAAGGACAAGGCUAAGUGGGGAUCCAGGAAGCAUGGGUUCACUUAAGGCUCUGUCGCUAUGCUAAGUGAGGCCAGAGACAUCUUGCAGCAUUGAUGAAGAAUCUGGCAUCCAGUGACUGUCAUUCUUUCCUCUGGUUCUGACAUUCUCCAGAUGUCCAUGAGCAGGAGACGAGGACAGCAGCAAACUCCAGCUUAACAUAAGAUGGAGAGGCUGUUGGGAUUUCUGAGGGACCAGAGAUCUUUUGGCUGCAACUCAGAGGAGGUACCCUCAGGUUUGGCCCAAGGCCUCGGAGUGCAGCUCCUUGGUCCACCUGUGCUUGUCCCUGCUUUUCUGGCCCACCAAAAAGUGCUCCUGACAGCCCUAACCACCUACUCUUCACCAAGGCUCUCUGGUCCUGUGUGGUCCAAAAGGCCGACUGCAGAUGCUCUUUUGAGUCCAGGGCCCUAAAGAAAGCAGUCCUACCUGGUGGGGGAUGACACUCUGGACCUGGAGUCUGAAGACCUCGUUUUCUGUCUCUGAGCUUCAGUUUUCUCAUCUAUGAAAUGGGAAUCAUAACACACGCUUGAUGUGACUCUCAGGGCUGCCCUAAGGAUACUGAAAAAUGGCGAAUGACGGCGUGCUUUGUACACAGUGGGUCGUCCAAGGGGAGCCAGAGAGUGCCUCUUUCUGGCAUGCCUGAGCCUCCGGAGCUGGAGAAGCCUCCUUUGGUCUCCUAGACUGCCUUUUCUCCUCCCAUCUGUCUCAACCUGCACAAAUCCUGCCGGGCUCUGCACAUUGCUCUGUGUUGACGGAUCCACCAUAUUAGCCUUGCCUGGCCCUUUCCUUCGUCCUUAGAAGACUCAUGACUCCAGCUGAGCUUAUGGGUGAACUCUUUCACAGCAGAAACUGCUUUGCCCUUCCUUCCCCAUGGGCCUUGUACCUGGUCAAGCCUGCAUCUUUCAGCUCUCUGGUCAUCCAGAGGGAAGUCUCACAUGAGUCUUGGUGAGAAUCUUCAACUUGGCCGUGCAAGUUUUCUGAUACUUUCAAUCCAGUUCAAGAUAAGAUACAUACAGCAGUCACACACCCUGAAUCUCAGAUUCUCAGAGGGGUUGAUCCCUCUGAAACAUCUUGCAACCAAAACUCCAUCUUGGCGUCUGCUUCCUUCUGAAGAACUCAACCUGGGACACAGUAAGAGGACAGAUCACCUACCUGUGAGGACCCCUGUGAUUCAGUCUGCCUUUCCCUGGCCACGACCCCAUCCUUGCCCCUGUCUGAUGUCCAAGCUGCCCCUGCUGAGACAGACCUGGCCUCUUCUGGACAGCUCCAGUCACAUAAGGACUCCAUAGCUUGUGUGGGCUCAGAGCACUUUGGCUGCAGAGAGGAAAGUCUUUACCACUGGGCAGGACUCACUAGUUCGUGAUGAAGAUGGUGACACGCCCACCUGGAGAGAUGUACACGGUUUCCUUGGAGGAAGCCCACGGCCUGGAGUGAAUCACUCAAGCAGAGUGUUCGCUGGGUGACUGGUGUCCCAUGAGGGCACCAGGCGGAUCACAUUGAAUAUAAAAGAUGCUCCUUGGGGGCCCUCUUAGCUCUUGCCACAUGGAACCCUGAGAAGGGCAGGGCACCUUGGGCUGGAAGGAAGAUGCUGUCAGGGCGUGCACUUGUAGAAGAGGAGAGGCGCCACCAGGCAAUUCCUGGGAUUGCAUGGUUUGCUGAGAGAAUUGGGGCCGGGGACCUCGGGAGCCGUCACGCUUGUGUGGUCCUAGACAUUCUCAAUCACUCCCACCCUCGCCCUAAAACUUAGUCGGGAUGCCCUUUUCUCUCUACGUGGGGACCCUGCUCUAGGGAAGAAGCUGUAGGGGGCUGGUGUGGCCGGGCUGUUUCUGCCUGUCUGCAUCUUACAUUUUACUUCUGGCAGGCACUUUUCCCAGGGACUGGAACUUCAGCCUCACUCCCUAAAUUCUCAAUUCUCCCAGAAUCCCCAGCAACCAACCAAGGGGAGCUCCAGGGGCUGAGGGUCAGUGAGGCACAAAUGGCAGGUGGAUGGCAGGAUUCCUGGGUGUCCCAACCCACACCGCACCCAUGUGGCCCUUGGGUCUCAGCACCUGCAUACCCUGGCCAGCGUGGGGCCAGUGUGGGACCAGCAUGGGGCCAGUGGGAACACAGCAGCAGGCCCAGUGCUUACUCCAACCUCAGGACUGGGCCUGGGGAGUGGCAGGUUGGACUCCUCCAGGAGGCACAGCACCUAGAACCCAUGGUGCUUUCAGGGCAUUGAAUAAAAAAUGUUUUCAUCCAAUUAAAACAGGAAGAGGCCAGGCCCAAAGGCCUGUAAUCUCAGCAUUCUGAGAGGCCAAGACAGGAGGAUUGCUUGAGGCCAG
rnacentral:lncRNA from 1 species